AAAAAGGGCUUCUGUUUUAAGUGGCACAUAUGGGGCAACUCAACUUCUCUUAGUGCAGAAUCGACAUCAAGAAAUUUUGGAAGCAUAAUUUUUUUGGUACCUGGAUAGCUGGUGUUCAUUGGUCCCAGCAUCCAC
ensembl:snRNA